UGGGGUGUCGCCAAGUGGUAAGGCAGCGGUUUUUGGUACCGCCAUACCUAGGUUCGAAUCCUAGCACCCCAGCCA
rnacentral:tRNA from 4 species